rnacentral:rRNA from 1 species
CCUACGGGUGGCAGCAGUGGGGGAUAUUGCUCAAUGGGGGAAACCCUGAAGCAGCAACGCCGCGUGAGGGAAGAAGGAUUUCGGUAUGUAAAGCCCUUUUAGUAGGGAAGAGAAUGACGGUACCCGACUAAGAAGCACCGGCUAACUACGUGCCAGCAGCCGCGGUAAUACGGAGGGGGCGAGCGUUAUUCGGAUUUACUGGGGGUAAAGGGGGCGUAGUCGGCUGGGCAAGUCGGAAGUGAAAGCCCGGGGCUUAACCCCGGAACGGCCUUGGAAACUGUGCAGCUAGAGUGCGGGAGAGGUAGGCGGAAUUCGUGGUGUAGCGGUGAAAUGCGUAGAUAUUAGGAGGAACACCGAUGGCGAAGGCGGCUUACUGGACAGUAACUGACGUUGAGGCACGAAAGCGUGGGGAGCAAACAGGAUUAGAUACCCUGGUAGUC